rnacentral:rRNA from 1 species
AUUAUACAGCGAAACUGCGAAUGGCUCAUUAAAUCAGUUAUCGUUUAUUUGAUAGUACCUUACUACUUGGAUAACCGUGGUAAUUCUAGAGCUAAUACAUGCUGAAAACCCCGACUCACGGAGGGGUGUAUUUAUUAAAUUAAAAACCAAUGCCCUUCGGGGCUCACUGGUGAUUCAUAAUAACUUCUCGAAUCGCAUGGCCUUGCGCCGGCGAUGGUUCAUUCAAAUUUCUGCCCUAUCAACUUUCGAUGGCAGGGUCUUGGCCAGCCAUGGUGACAACGGGUAACGGAGGGUUAGGGCUCGACCCCGGAGAAGGAGCCUGAGAAACGGCUACUACAUCCAAGGAAGGCAGCAGGCGCGCAAAUUACCCAAUCCCGACACGGGGAGGUAGUGACAAUAAAUACUGAUACAGGGCUCUUUUGGGUCUUGUAAUUGGAAUGAGUACAAUUUAAAUCCCUUAACGAGGAACAAUUGGAGGGCAAGUCUGGUGCCAUGUUGCAGUAAAAAAGCUGGUAGUUGAACCUUGGGCCUGGUUGGCCGGUCCGCCUCACCGCGUGCAAUGGUCCGUCCGGGUCUUUCCCUCAGAGGAACCGCAUGCCCUUCACUGGGUGUGUUGGGGAACCAGGACUUUUACUUUGAAAAAAUUAGAGUGUUCAAAGCAGGCCUAUGCUGGAAUACAUUAGCAUGGAAUAAUAGAAUAGGACGUGUGGUUCUAUUUUGAUGGUUUCUAGGACCGCCGUAAUGAUUAAUAGGGACAGUCGGGGGCAUCAGUAUUCAAUUGUCAGAGGUGAAAUUCUUGGAUUUAUUGAAGACUAACUACUGCGAAAGCAUUUGCCAAGGAUGUGUUCAUUAAUCAGGAACGAAAGUUAGGGGAUCGAAGAAGAUCAGAUACCGUCGUAGUCUUAACCUUGAUCUAUGCCGACUAGGGAUCGGGCGAUGUUAUUAUUUGACUCGUUCGGCACCUUACGAGAAAUCAAAGUCUUUGGG